GUAGGUGAACCUGCGGAAGGAUCAUUAUCACGUAAUAAUCCACGUUAUAAACCCUUCUUUGAAUUGUUUUAAACUAAAUUUCUGGAACAGCUUUGUGCUGGAAUGCUUCUGAAUUGGGAUAUGAAAAUUUUAAUAGAACACUGUCUUAUUUAUUUAAGAUUGAAAUGGGAAAAUUAUUGUAAUUUGAGAUCCCAGAGUUCUGUUAAUAGUUCAUAACCAGCAAUUCGUUAGUGUCUAAGAAAUUGUAACU
rnacentral:misc_RNA from 1 species